rnacentral:misc_RNA from 1 species
CGCACAUUGCGCUCUUCGGCAUUCCGGGGAGCAUGCCUGUUCGAGCGUCAUUGCACCUCUCAAGCGUAGCUUGGUAUUGGAUCUUGUCCGAGCAGACAUGUCCGAAAAUGAGUGGCGGUCCCGUACGACUUCAAGCGCAGUAAAUAAUUCGCUUUGGAAGUUUCGUAUUGUGCCUGCCAGAAUAUUCUCUUCAAUGAUUGACCUCGGAUCAGGUAGGGAUACCCGCUGAACUUAA